UCAAGCUAAAAAGGGCGCAAGGGGGAUGCCUUGGCAUUGGUAGCCGAUGAAGGACGUAGCGAUCUACGAUAAGCCACGGGAAGUCGAAAGCAGGCAAUGAUCCGUGGAUUUCCGAAUGGGGAAACCCGGCAGAGCAAUACUCUGUCAACUCCUUGUGAAUAAAAUAGCAUUGAGUAGGGAACCUCCUGAACUGAAACAUCUAAGUAGGGAGAGGAAAAGAAAUCAACCGAGAUUCCGCUAGUAGUGGCGAGCGAACGCGGAAGAGGCCAAACCGAGAGUAGUAAUACUUUCGGGGUUAGGACAGAAAUGUGUACACAGAGGUUUAGCAGAAUUGUAUGGGAAGGCAAACCAAAGAGAGUGAAAGUCUCGUAUGCGAAAAACUGAAGUGGCUAUCUGAAUCCAGAGUACCGCCGGACACGAGGAAUCCGGUGGGAAGACGGGGGGACCAUCCUCCAAGCCUAAAUACUAACCGAUGACCGAUAGAGAAGAGUACCGUGAGGGAAAGGUGAAAAGCACCCCGGGAGGGGAGUGAAAGAGAACCUGAAACCUUGUGCUUACAAGCACCGAGAGCCCGUCAAAGGGUGAUCGGGUACCUUUUGUAGAAUGGUCCGGCGAGUGAAUGUAUCUGGCAAGGUUAAGGACUUCAGGUCCGGAGCCGUAGCGAAAGCGAGUCUGAAUAGGGCGUGUGAAGUCAGAUGUAUUCGACCCGAAACCGUGUGACCUACCCAUGUCCAGGUUGAAGUGGCGGUAAAACGCCAUGGAGGACCGAACCGACUCCCGUUGAAAUGGUAGCGGAUGAGAUGUGGGUAGCGGAGAAAUUCCAAUCGAACUCGGAGAUAGCUGGUUCUCUCCGAAAUAGCUUUAGGGCUAGCCUCAAUUAACAUUACCGCAGGUAAAGCACUGAAUGGGCUAGGGGGCGAAAGCUUACUGAACCCUAUCAAACUCAGAAUGGCGGAUAAUGAAUAAUUGGGAGUCACACUACGUGAGAUAAGUUUCGUGGUGGAAAGGGAAACAGCCCAGACCCACAGCUAAGGUCCCAAAGUACAGUUAAGUGGAAAAGGAUGUGAAGUUGCGCAGACAACCAGGAUGUUGGCUCAGAAGCAGCCACUCAUUUAAAGAGUGCGUAAUAGCUCACUGGUCGAGUGAUUUUGCGCCGAAAAUUUAACGGGGCUAAACUGUACACCGAAGCUUGGGAAUAUACCAUAUGGUAUGUUGGUAGGAGAGCGUCGUAUGCGGGGUGAAGUCGUAGCGAAAGCGGCGGUGGACUGCAUAGGAGUGAGAAUGCCGGAAUGAGUAGCGAGAAUUAUGUGAGAAUCAUAAUGGCCGAAAGACUAAGGUUUUAGAAGGAAGGUUCGUCCGCUUCUAGUUAGCCGGGAGCUAAGGCGAGGCCGAAAGGCGUAGUCGAUGCACAUACGGUUGAGAUUCCGUAGCCACCUUAAAUUUAAACUAAGGGACACAUUGAAAGGGAAUAACCCAGGCGUUGGUUGACCUGGGCGUAAGGGAACGAAAAUAAGUAGUGAAGUAUUCUUGGACAGUGGCGAGAAAAGCUUAGUGUAUAUUAUUAGGGUGCCCGUACUGCAAACCGACACAGGUAGUCAGGAAGAGAAUUCUAAGGCCAUCGGGAGAAGCGUUGUUAAGGAACUCGGCAAAUUGACCCCGUAACUUCGGAAUAAGGGGUGCUCACGAGAGUGAGCCGCAGUGAAUAGGUCCAGGCAACUGUUUAUCAAAAACACAGCUCUCUGCUAAAUCGUAAGAUGACGUAUAGGGGGUGACACCUGCCCGGUGCUGGAAGGUUAAGAGGAGGAGUGCAAGCCCCGAAUCGAAGCCCCAGUAAACGGCGGCCGUAACUAUAACGGUCCUAAGGUAGCGAAAUUCCUUGUCGGGUAAGUUCCGACCCGCACGAAUGGUGUAAUGAUCUGGACACUGUCUCAACAACGCACCCGGCGAAAUUGUAGUACCGGUGAAGAUGCCGGUUACCCGCGGCAAGACGGAAAGACCCCAUGGAGCUUUACUGUAACUUAAUAUUGGGUCUCGGUACUUUAUGUACAGGAUAGGCGGGAGACUUGGAAACUAGCACGCCAGUGUUAGCGGAGUCAUCCUUGGGAUACCGCUCUUAAGGUAUUGAGAUUCUAACCUGCAGCCUUGAAUCAGGUUGGGGGACAUUGUUAGGUGGGCAGUUUGACUGGGGCGGUCGCCUCCAAAAGAGUAACGGAGGCGCUCAAAGGUUCGCUCAGCACGGACGGAAACCGUGCUUUUGAGUGUAAACGCAUAAGCGAGCCUAACUGCGAGACUGACGGGUCGAGCAGUAACGAAAGUUGGAGUUAGUGAUCCGGCGGUAUGUGAGUGGAAAUGCCGUCGCUCAACGGAUAAAAGCUACCCUGGGGAUAACAGGCUGAUCUCCCCCA
rnacentral:rRNA from 1 species